UAGCAUAUCAAUAAGCGGAGGAAAAGAAACCAACAGGGAUUGCCCUAGUAACGGCGAGUGAAGCGGCAACAGCUCAAAUUUGAAAUCUGGCGUCUUUGGCGUCCGAGUUGUAAUUUGCAGAGGGCGCUUUGGCAUUGGCAGCGGUCCAAGUUCCUUGGAACAGGACGUCACAGAGGGUGAGAAUCCCGUACGUGGUCGCUAGCCUUUACCGUGUAAAGCCCCUUCGACGAGUCGAGUUGUUUGGGAAUGCAGCUCUAAAUGGGAGGUAAAUUUCUUCUAAAGCUAAAUACUGGCCAGAGACCGAUAGCGCACAAGUAGAGUGAUCGAAAGAUGAAAAGCACUUUGGAAAGAGAGUUAAAAAGCACGUGAAAUUGUUGAAAGGGAAGCGCUUGCAGCCAGACUUGCCUGUAGUUGCUCAUCCGGGUUUUUACCCGGUGCACUCUUCUGCGGGCAGGCCAGCAUCAGUUUGGGCGGUUGGAUAAAGGUCUCUGUCAUGUACCUCUCUUCGGGGAGAACUUAUAGGGGAGACGACAUGCAACCAGCCUGGACUGAGGUCCGCGCAUCUGCUAGGAUGCUGGCGUAAUGGCUGUAAGCGGCCCGUCUUGAAACACGGACCAAGGAGUCUAACAUCUAUGCGAGUGUUUGGGUGUCAAGCCCGAACGCGUAAUGAAAGUGAACGGAGGUGGGAACCCCUCGGGGUGCACCAUCGACCGAUCCUGAUGUCUUCGGAUGGAUUUGAGUAAGAGCAUAGCUGUUGGGACCCGAAAGAUGGUGAACUAUGCUUGAAUAGGGUGAAGCCAGAGGAAACUCUGGUGGAGGCUCGCAGCGGUUCUGACGUGCAAAUCGAUCGUCAAAUUUGGGCAUAGGGGC
rnacentral:rRNA from 1 species